rnacentral:rRNA from 1 species
GAUGAACGCUGGCGGCGUGCCUAAUACAUGCAAGUCGAGCGAACAGACGAGGAGCUUGCUCCUCUGACGUUAGCGGCGGACGGGUGAGUAACACGUGGAUAACCUACCUAUAAGGCUGGGAUAACUUCGGGAAACCGGAGCUAAUACCGGAUAAUAUAUUGAACCGCAUGGUUCAAUAGUGAAAGACGGUUUUGCUGUCACUUAUAGAUGGAUCCGCGCCGCAUUAGCUAGUUGGUAAGGUAACGGCUUACCAAGGCAACGAUGCGUAGCCGACCUGAGAGGGUGAUCGGCCACACUGGAACUGAGACACGGUCCAGACUCCUACGGGAGGCAGCAGUAGGGAAUCUUCCGCAAUGGGCGAAAGCCUGACGGAGCAACGCCGCGUGAGUGAUGAAGGUCUUCGGAGCGUAAAACUCUGUUAUUAGGGAAGAACAAAUGUGUAAGUAACUAUGCACGUCUUGACGGUACCUAAUCAGAAAGCCACGGCUAACUACGUG